GGAACCCUGUCUGCCUAGAACCCAGGAAGAAUGUCAGCAACGACCUCUGAAGGGCCUUCUUUCUCAAGUGACCGAAUGGAGGAAAAGGUGUCAACAGCGAGAAGAUGCAGGAAGACUGGGAAGACGAGCCCCUGGACA
rnacentral:lncRNA from 1 species